rnacentral:piRNA from 1 species
UUUGUCAGGCUACAACAAUGAACUGC